rnacentral:rRNA from 2 species
GGACUACCGGGGUAUCUAAUCCUGUUUGCUCCCCACGCUUUCGCGCCUCAGUGUCAGGAAUUUCCCAGAAGGGCGCCUUCGCCGCCGGCCUUCCCCCAGAUAUCUGCGCAUUUCACCGCUACACCUGGAGUUCCCCCUUCCCCUGAAAUCCUCAAGCCACGCAGUAUAAGGCGCAAUUCCCCGGGUAAGCCGAGGGCUUUCACACCUUACUUACGCAACCACCUACGCGCCCUUUAAGCCCAGUGACACCGAACAACGUUCGCCCCUCACGUAUUACCGCGGCGGCUGGCAC